AAUCAACGCUGGCGGCGUGCCUAACACAUGCAAGUCGAACGCGAAAGCCCUUUCGGGGGUAAGUAGAGUGGCGUCCGGGUGAGUAACACGUGGGUAAUCUGCCUUCGGGUGGGGAAUAACUCGCCGAAAGGUGAGCUAAUACCGCAUAAUGCAGCGGCACCAAAUGGUGAAUAGUUGUUAAAGCGGGGGACCCUUCGGGGCCUCGCGCCUGAAGAGGGGCCUGCGGCAGAUUAGCUAGUUGGGA
rnacentral:rRNA from 1 species